GAUGGCGACCGGCGCACGGGUGAGUAACACGUAUCCAACCUGCCGAUGACUCGGGGAUAGCCUUUCGAAAGAAAGAUUAAUACCCGAUGGCAUAGUUCUUCCGCAUGGUAGGACUAUUAAAGAAUUUCGGUCAUCGAUGGGGAUGCGUUCCAUUAGGUUGUUGGCGGGUAACGGCCCACCAAGCCUUCGAUGGAUAGGGGUUCUGAAAGGAAGGUCCCCCACAUUGGAACUGAGACACGGUCCAAACUCCUACGGGAGGCAGCAUG
rnacentral:rRNA from 1 species